ensembl:snRNA U6 U6 spliceosomal RNA
AUGCUUUCUACGGCUGCAUAUAUACUAAAAUUGGAACGAUACAGAGAAGAUUAGCAUGCGCAAGGAUGACACGCAAAAUCGUGAAGUUGU